UAAGUCUGUGAAGACUCAACAGGAGUCUGGGAAUUUCCAUGGUAGAUAAUCUCUAUUGUGGGCCCAGGUAAAGCCAUAACCAGGAGACAUGCUGAAUUACUGAAACAGAAAGAUCCGAAACAACCGGGAGUGGAUCUAAGUACUUUCAGAACUCUGAGUGGAAGGGUAUGUUUGGCUCCAAUGAAUCAGAUUCCUCCUCCAAUGGUUUGUCUCCAAAAGCCCGGAUGUCGACCCUAUACAGAAAACUGACGAGAGUCUGGAGAGGAAGCUAAACACUUCACAGACCCUGAGUCAGGCAUCAUCUUCAUCAUCGGGAAGCUUUGUAAUGAUGUCACAGAGUCAGGGGUCAUCUGAGGGGUCAGUCACAGAGUCAGGGGUCAUGUUAGGGGUCAGUGAGGUCUCUGACAGAGAAAGGCACCGACUAAAACCCCACCAAAAAAUAUCCCUGCAAGAUAGUCCUGAGGAACAUUGUCCACAAGAAGCGAGACUUGUACACGACCGAGUCUAAAGAUUUACUGGAGAUAGCCUGGGAGAGGAGGCCCCCACCCAGUAACUGGAAACCCAAGGGGCUGCUGGUGGCCCACCUCUCUUAACACAGGGCGGCAGUCAACAGCAGGAUUCAAGUUUCUCAAGACCAAGCAUUCUUUGCCACGGACUCCAAUGAUGGUACAGUCAAAUUAUGGGAGUCUGAAAAACUGGAGGGACACAGUGUUGCUAACCGCUCUAAACAGACCCUCAAGAAUAGUUGAAUCCACACUUUUCAAAAGUUAUGUCCCUUGACCGCCAUCUUAGGGGAUGAACCCAAAGAAUCCUCACAGUAGCCUUCGAAGUUUUCAGGUUUGUAACUUUGUCAUUUGACUGGGAAGAAUCGUUGCAUAGUGUACACUGAUUGCCCCAUGUUGGGGCUACAUGUACCCACACAUCCAAAGAAAACAAUUUAACUCUUUACAACUUACUGAACUAUUAUGCAACAUACACUUAAUGUUCACGUCAUAGAAAUAGAAAUUUACCAUUUCCCCGUAAGCACCUUUUAGUGUGGAAUAUGUUUCUAUAAAGUUUAGCAUACAUAAUAUUGUGACGUUAUAUAUUUUAUUCGAAAAUAACUUAAUUUUCUUAUUUUUUAAAGAUUUUUGCAAGUAUGAAAUAGAAGGAUAUUGGGAAAAAAUUAAAUAUAAAAUGAACUUUUUAAAGUGUGAGAAAAUGCGUGAUUUAAAAAAAACAGGAUGUGCAUGAUUUUGCGUUAGAGAUAGGAAAUGGUAUAUGCGUUAAAAAGUGUGACUGCGGGGAAGGGUGUUAAAACACAGUGGAUUCAUCAUAGCCCACCCAAAUGUUUGGUAGCAUAAAAAGGAGAAAUGUUGUUUCUUUCCCUCUUGACCUUUUGGUUGACCCUGCAAAGGGAAGCAACUUUUGUAAAGUGUGGAUUGGUCUAUUCUUCUAUACCUGGUAAAAUAACAAAUUACUUUGAUUUACACUGUAUUAUGUCAUUGAUUUUUUUUU